AAUGAGCAUUAAUUUCUAACUACUUUUGUUAGCGUUGAAAAUUCAGAGACUUGAGAUUACAUUUUUUCCAUAGGUUUUUCAUGGGCUGAGAGAAGCAGCAGAGAAUAAAAGGUGUUACUACAUGCCUGAUUUUAUCCAAAGAAAUAUCUGAUGCAGUAAUGGUUGUUUUUUUUUUUUUGGUUUUUUUUUUCCAGCUACUACUGCUGUUAUGAAGAAGAAUUUAGAAAUAUUGCUAUAAAUAGAAGGCCAUGCUCGUGACCAUGCGCUGUGAGUCAUUGCUGUUAAUUGCUCAGAUGUCUUUUCAUAAUGCCUGGGAUUCUCAACAAUGAGCAAUAGGAUUAGAAUUUGUUAUUUAGCAUUGUUAUUAAUGUAUAUGUGUAUGUAUUGGUUUGUUUUUUGUCCUGUGUACAGUUGCUCUGUAUAAUUAAAAGGAAGGUAUUGUAUCACAUGUUAUAAGUGGCUAGUCACACGAUAUGGUGAAUAAUGAACUCAGUGUGCAGAACAGCUGACAAACCCCCAUGCUAAGCUAUAUUGUAUGCAAACUAUUUGUCAGGUGCCUGUGACUAACGGAUUGAUUUUUCCAGAAAUCACAGCCAGUUAGUGGACAGCUGCCUAAUCCAAAAAGAGACACGCACAUGCACUUUGGUGUCCACACUGAACAAGAGCAGACCACUGGGCUCAGAUCCCACCGAGCGCACGCAUAUCCUCUCAGAACAGCCCAUUUUGUUUCCAGGAAUUGCAGGAAGAACAGGUUCAGCUGGUUCCCUGUGUCAAGUCAAACCAACAGAGACUGUGAAGAACUAAGCUGACUCUAUGGUGAAAGGACAGGAUCAACUUGCCAGAGAACCAGCCAAUCUCUGAAGUUAUUCAAUUGAAACCAAUAAAGGAAC
rnacentral:lncRNA from 1 species